GGAGGAGUAGGCUUUGCUGGAUCCUUCCCAGAAGAAUCUCUACAGAGAUGUGAUGCAGGAAACCUUCAGGAACCUGUCCUCUCUAGGAAAUAAAUGGAAAGACCAGAAUAUUGAAGAUCACUACAGAACUCUAAGGAAGGAGCAUCUGAGCACAGCACAGAAAUGAUCCAAACCAAACUACUGUGAAGUGUAAAGAGAGCAGCAUGGCUUUUCCAAACAGGACAGCAUCACAAACCCUCCCAAGGGUACAAGGAGAGCAGUUAGAACAGAAGGAAAGGUGACCUGAAGACUGUUAGGACUGGUGAAAAUGAUUCAUUGAAAAUCUAAGGAAGAACUCUUGUCUUUGGAGUCCUGUGCCCAUUUCUCUGGCGUGUGUGUUUUCCUGAAGGGCCAUUCCCAGCUUUUCACUUGAAUAAACUCAUCACAACUCAGUCCUACGUUUUUGCAUGAUGUGAGGUUGACGGGACACACACCCAAUACCCAUGGACUGUAUGCUCCCUGCCACUGCCUUCCUC
rnacentral:lncRNA from 1 species